AUUGAACGCUGGCGGAAUGCUUUACACAUGCAAGUCGAGCGGCAGCACGGGGGCAACCCUGGUGGCGAGCGGCGAACGGGUGAGUAAUACAUCGGAACAUGCCCAGUCGUGGGGGAUAACACUUCGAAAGAAGUGCUAAUACCGCAUACGUCCUGAGGGAGAAAGCGGGGGAUCUUCGGACCUCGCGCGAUUGGAGUGGCCGAUGUCAGAUUAGCUAGUUGGUGGGGUAAAGGCCUACCAAGGCAACGAUCUGUAGCUGGUCUGAGAGGAUGAGCAGCCACACUGGGACUGAGAACCGGCCCAGACUCCUAAGGGAGGCAGCAGUGGGGAAUUGUGGACAAUGGGGGCAACCCUGAUCCAGCCAUUCCGCGUGAGUGAAGAAGGCCUUCGGGUUGUAAAGCUCUUUCGGCAGGAACGAAACGGCGAGCUCUAACAUAGCUUGCUAAUGACGGUACCUGAAGAAGAAGCACCGGCUAACUACGUGCCAGCAGCCGCAGUAACAC
rnacentral:rRNA from 1 species